AUAAAAUUUAAAUUUAAGUUACAUAAAUCCCACAGUAAAAAUCUAUCCUUUGGUUUCUAAAUUAGAUUUUCGUAAGAUGCGGAGGGCAAGAGGAGAAUAAUUUUGCUAUAAAAGCAUGCAUUUUGAAUUUCCCUCCCCGGAGCUUACUGCUCAAGCUUUUGGCCAUUUGUAACGGGGUUACAAAGCGAACUUUGAUUGUCCUUGUUGCACCUACGCCUCGGCGGACCUGCGAGCUAAAGCUUUCGAAGGGAACUUUUGGGCGGACGUAGAGCGCAGGGCUGCUGUUGCCAAAGUCGCGCUGCUCUCUGCCCCGGCGUGUGGCCUCCUGUCUGUGUGAACCGAUGUGGUAAUGUGUGAUACAAAGUCGCCGAGUUAAUGUCUUGUCCAACUGGUGAGACAAAUUCGUUGGAAGCUUUCGCACAAGCGGUUUUUGUUUUUUAUUUUUCCUAAAAUUUGAAGAAUUUAAUGCUGAAAAAAGCAAAUCAGUGUCCAAUUCUGACGUUCCAGAAUGUUAAAGAUUUGCAAUGAAACGCGUAGUGAGGCAGCGCUGUGAAAAUUCGACAUUUGGAAACUUCUGAGCUUGUGCUGUGUGGCAUCAAAAAUCGGGUCGCCUGGUGAAAAACUGAAAAACGUUGAAUCCCCUAAGAAAUUCAUUCGGAGUGAAACGGGAAAACGGCGACAAUGGCGACAAGUACAACGUUGAACGAAUAAAAUUGACUUAUCCGGAAUGUGCGCCCCGAAAAUCUUCAAUUUCUUCUUGUCGAGAUAAAUUUCCUUCCACUCACCUGGCCUUUUAGUCAGAUCCAUAGCCAAAAUACAGUAAUGCUACGAUAAUUAUUACAAAGAAUAAGGAAUAAAUGAGUGUCAGCUCAUAGUGCCGAGAAUAUACGUAAAAAUAGCUAAAAAUUCACAAAAAAAAAUAUCGACUUCGUAGAUGAUCCAAAGUGUAUGUGUGCGCGAGCGGAUGCAACACUGAACGCGCGGCAAGGCCACUUCCGAAUCCUCCGAAAGGAGCGGCUCCUGUCUCCCACUGCCAACACCGUAGAAUACUAAAGUAGCAGUGACCUGGUAUAAUUGGCCUCCCAAAAUAAAUGUCCAGUUGCCGCUGUCGUGCCAUGCGGACGGCGUGUCACUCCCGACCAAUGCGUAUUGUGGUUCACCUUGUGUAAGAUAAUUAUGGCCGAGCGGUCGUUACAAAAGUAUCAGAAAUUGGAAAUAGUGACGGUUGGAAGCGGCUCAGGAAGUAGUGCUAGCAGAGCAUCAACAGGACUUCUUAGGCGGGGGGCACUUGGGUCGAAAGGGAGCCCAUCGCUUAGCUGAUAGAAUGGGUGGCCCAAAAAAAGAGGAGAACCCACCAGGUGGUGGUCCGACGUCGUUAUUCAUCCUUACCGAGGAUAACCCAAUUAGGAAGUACACACGAUUCAUCAUAGAAUGGCCGCCCUUUGAAUACGCUGUGUUAUUGACAAUCAUAGCCAACUGUGUUGUGUUGGCGCUGGAGGAGCACUUGCCCGGGGGCGACAAGACAGUAUUGGCUCAAAAAUUGGAAAAAACGGAGGCCUAUUUUUUAUGCAUUUUCUGUGUAGAAGCAUCGCUCAAGAUCCUCGCCUUAGGGCUUGUUCUGCAUAAACACUCCUAUCUCAGGAAUAUUUGGAACAUCAUGGAUUUUUUCGUUGUAGUGACGGGAUUCAUGACACAGUACCCACAAAUAGGGCCCGAGGUAGACCUAAGAACACUUAGAGCCAUUCGUGUGCUACGGCCCCUAAAAUUAGUGUCUGGAAUUCCUAGUUUACAAGUAGUUUUAAAAUCUAUAAUCAAGGCGAUGGCACCUUUAUUGCAAAUCGGUCUCUUGGUGUUGUUCGCAAUCGUAAUAUUUGCAAUCAUUGGACUCGAGUUUUAUUCGGGCGCACUGCAUAAGACUUGUUAUAGCUUAGAAGAUCCAAACAAACUAGUGAAGGAGGGCGAAUCAGAGACGCCCUGCAAUACAGACAACGGUACGGAGAAGGCAGGUGGCUUUGUGUGCAACAACACCACUAGCAUGUGUCUCGAGAAGUGGGACGGACCAAACCAGGGCAUAACGAGUUUCGACAACAUUGGAUUCGCCAUGUUAACCGUGUUCCAAUGCAUCACCAUGGAGGGCUGGACAUCAAUACUCUAUUGGACCAACGAUGCACUAGGUUCAACAUUUAAUUGGAUAUAUUUCGUGCCUCUUAUAGUUAUAGGCUCAUUUUUUAUGCUCAACCUAGUUCUUGGUGUCUUAAGUGGAGAGUUUUCGAACGAACGAAACCGUGUUGAGCGACGCAUGGAGUUUCAGAAAUGCCGAUUUCGGGCCAUGUUUCAGACAGCAAUGGUCUCGUACCUUGACUGGAUCACACAAGCAGAGGAGGUAAUCCUAGCAGAGGAGCGAACCACAGAAGAAGAAAAGAUGCACAUUAUGGAAGCCCGAAGACGCAAUGCUGCCAAGCGAAAAAAGCUGAAAAGUUUGGGAAAGUCCAAGUCUACAGACACUGAGGAAGAGGAGGCCGAGGAAGAUUAUGGCGACGAUGGUUAUUUGAAAACUCGAUCGAAACCCCAAGGCAGUUGCACCGGAUUCUGGCGGGCGGAAAAGAGGUUUCGCUUUUGGAUCCGGCACACGGUUAAAACACAAUGGUUUUACUGGUUCGUGAUCGUCCUUGUCUUCCUGAAUACCGUGUGCGUCGCGGUGGAGCACUAUGGUCAGCCAUCGUUUCUGACGGAGUUUCUAUACUACGCGGAGUUCAUUUUCCUGGGUCUGUUCAUGUCGGAAAUGUUCAUCAAGAUGUACGCUCUGGGACCCCGGAUCUACUUUGAGUCAUCAUUCAACCGUUUUGAUUGCGUUGUCAUUAGUGGUUCGAUAUUCGAGGUUAUAUGGUCCGAGGUCAAAGGCGGCUCCUUCGGACUGUCUGUCCUGCGUGCUCUGCGACUUUUGCGCAUCUUCAAAGUAACCAAGUACUGGUCGUCGCUGCGCAAUCUAGUCAUCUCCCUGCUGAACUCAAUGAGAUCGAUUAUCUCGUUGUUGUUCCUGCUCUUCUUGUUCAUACUCAUAUUUGCUCUGCUUGGCAUGCAGUUGUUCGGCGGCCAAUUUAACCUGCCCGGAGGCACGCCCGAGACCAAUUUCAACACUUUCCCGAUAGCACUGUUGACCGUUUUCCAAAUCCUUACCGGCGAAGAUUGGAACGAGGUCAUGUAUCAGGGUAUCAUAUCGCAAGGUGGUGCCCAGAAAGGAAUGAUUUACUCUAUAUAUUUUAUCGUUUUGGUACUCUUCGGAAAUUACACGCUAUUGAAUGUGUUCUUGGCUAUCGCCGUUGACAAUUUGGCGAAUGCCCAAGAACUAACAGCAGCCGAAGAGGAACAAGUCGAAGAGGAUAAAGAGAAACAGCUGCAGGAGCUCGAAAAAGAGAUGGAGGCGCUUCAGGGCGAUGGUGUACACGUGGAGAACGGCGACGGUACCAUCGCCACAACCAAGGGCAAGAACAAGCGCAAGGAAGAGGAGAAGAAGGAGGAGGAGGAAGUGACCGAAGGUCCCAAGCCAAUGCUGCCAUACUCUUCGAUGUUCAUACUUUCACCAACCAAUCCCAUUCGACGCGGCGCCCAUUGGGUUGUUAAUUUGCCAUAUUUUGAUUUCUUUAUUAUGGUCGUCAUAUCAAUGUCAUCUAUAGCAUUAGCAGCCGAAGAUCCCGUUCGUGAGAACUCAAGGCGAAACAAGAUAUUGAAUUACUUUGAUUAUGCAUUUACCGGCGUAUUUACGAUAGAAAUGUUGCUGAAAAUUGUAGACUUGGGUGUGAUCCUGCACCCGGGAAGCUAUUUAAGAGAAUUCUGGAAUAUUAUGGAUGCUGUGGUCGUUAUAUGCGCUGCUGUUAGUUUCGGUUUCGAUAUGAGCGGUAGCAGCGCUGGACAAAAUUUAUCGACAAUUAAAUCGCUUCGAGUAUUGCGUGUUCUGCGUCCAUUAAAGACCAUUAAACGUGUUCCAAAAUUAAAAGCCGUCUUCGAUUGCGUCGUGAACUCAUUGAAAAAUGUUGUUAACAUUCUAAUCGUGUACAUAUUGUUUCAAUUUAUAUUUUCUGUUAUUGGAGUACAAUUGUUCAAUGGAAAAUUUUUUUAUUGUACGGACGAAAGUAAACAUACUUCCGCAGAGUGCCAGGGCUCGUACUUCAAGUACGAGGAGGACGAAUUGCUGCCAAAACAGGAGCUGAGGGUGUGGAAACCACGAGCCUUCCACUACGACAACGUUGCCGCCGCGAUGCUGACAUUGUUCGCCGUCCAAACCGGCGAGGGAUGGCCACAGGUCUUGCAACACUCUAUGGCUGCCACUUAUGAAGAUAGGGGUCCAAUCCAAAAUUUCCGGAUCGAAAUGUCCAUAUUUUAUAUUGUGUAUUUUAUUGUGUUUCCAUUCUUCUUCGUCAACAUAUUCGUGGCCUUGAUUAUUAUUACGUUUCAAGAGCAAGGCGAAGCCGAGCUACAAGACGGUGAAAUUGACAAAAAUCAGAAAUCCUGCAUUGACUUUACAAUUGGCGCCCGACCCCUUGAGCGAUAUAUGCCCAAAAAUCGAAACACCUUCAAGUAUAAAGUUUGGCGCAUUGUCGUGUCUACGCCUUUUGAGUACUUUAUUAUGAUGCUGAUCGUAUUUAAUACUCUCUUACUGAUGAUGAAGUACCAUAAUCAAGGAGACAUGUACGAAAAGUCGCUAAAGUACAUAAACAUGGGAUUCACUGGAAUGUUCAGUGUAGAAACUGUGCUGAAAAUCAUUGGAUUCGGUGUAAAGAACUUCUUCAAGGAUCCCUGGAACAUAUUCGAUCUAAUAACAGUCCUUGGCAGCAUUGUGGACGCCUUGUGGAUGGAAUUUGGGCACGAUGAUUCGAACUCAAUCAACGUCGGCUUCCUGCGUUUGUUUCGUGCAGCGCGUCUUAUCAAACUACUGCGUCAAGGAUACACAAUACGCAUCCUCCUGUGGACAUUUGUACAAUCAUUUAAAGCACUUCCAUAUGUCUGUUUGCUUAUAGCUAUGCUGUUUUUCAUAUACGCUAUUAUCGGCAUGCAGGUUUUCGGCAACAUAAAGUAUGAUCCGGACACUCAGUUGAACCGUCACAAUAACUUCCAGUCUUUCUCCGGUGGAAUAAUGCUGCUCUUCCGGUGUUCGGAAAUAUCAAACUAGGUACAGUGGAAAAUUCCAUUACUAGGCACAACAACUUCCAAUCAUUUAUUCAAGGCGUCAUGUUGCUAUUCAGAUGCGCAACCGGCGAGGCUUGGCCGAAUAUCAUGUUGGCCUGUCUCAAGGGAAAGGCCUGCGACGAGGACGCCGAGAAACGUCCUG
rnacentral:misc_RNA from 1 species